rnacentral:rRNA from 1 species
AUUGAACGCUGGCGGCAGGCCUAACACAUGCAAUUCGAACGAGUGGCGGACGGGUGAGUAAUGUCUGGGAAACUGCCUGAUGGAGGGGGAUAACUACUGGAAACGGUAGCUAAUACCGCAUACCAUCAGAUGUGCCCAGAUGGGAUUAGCUAGUUGGUGGGGUAACGGCUCACCAGGGCGACGAUCCCUAGCUGGUCUGAGUGGAUGACCAGGCACACUGGAUCUGAGAGACGGUCCAGACGCCGACGGGAGGCAGCAGUGGGGAAUAGUGCAGAAUGGGCGCAAGCCUGAUGCAGCCAUGCCGCGUGUAUGAAGAAGGCCUUCGGGUUGGAAAGUACUUUAAGCGGGGAGGCGUUACCCGCAGAAGAAGCACCGGCUAACUCCGUGCCAGCAGCCGCGGUAAUUC